CCAACCUCUGGGAGUCCUCAUGGCAUCUGACUUGUCAGACGGACUUUGUGGAUCUGCUCCUUUGGGAACCACCUCUGAUGGAUUGAAGUCUCAGCAAAAGAAGCAAGAAGCCCAGGCGCUCUGACCUCAUGAUGUCCUCAGCAGACAGGGAAGAUGCAGGGGUAGAGACCAAGGACAGGACAGGGUCUGGCUCUGUCAUCCAGGCUGGAGUGCAAUAGCAUGAUCUCUGCUCGCUGCAACCUCUGCCUCCUAGGCUCAAACCAUCCUCCUACCUCAGCAUCCCAAGUAGCUGGGACUACAGGUGCAUGCCACCAUGCCUGGCUAAUUUAUGUAUUUUUGGUAGAGAUAGGGUUUAGCCAUGUUGCCCAGGCUGGUCUGGAACUCCUGGGCUCAAGCGAUCCUCCUGCCUCAGCCCCCUACAGCGCUGGGGUUAUAGGCUGAGCCACGACACCAGGCCAGUCAGUAUUUGUUGACUGGAGCAUCGAUUGCUUACCAGCUUCGGCAUUUCAUUGCAUGGGACCUUCGUAGCAACCUGGUAAGAUGGGAGCUAACGUACACCAGUUUCACAGAGGUGAUGCUCAGCAGCUUACAGAGGUGGCCAAGGUCACACAGCUCCUGGAUCUGUAGUAAAGGCAGGACCAUCUGCCUUCUCUCUCUCCUGGCUUUGGUGGUUCAGGGGAAUGUUUUCUUUGCUGCUACUGUAGAGAACCACUGAGCAGAAAAGAUGCAGGCAAGAGCUGGCGGGCUGGGGACAGGCUCCUGAGGCGCUCUUCUUUGCAGCACGGCCCCUGGGGGCUCUGAGAUCAAAAUCCCUGGAGCCCAAGUUUCUGGAAGACCUUUGUCCAUCCUGAGCCCUGUAGUCUGCCCUCCUCCCACACCAGUCUCUUGGGGGCCUGGACUGGAGGCCCUGGCUCCCUGGGCUCACCUCUGCCCAUGUCUCCCUCUCUGGGGUCCCUGGGCGAUGCAUCUGGCUUCUGUGAGAAUGAGGCCCCUGGGUCGCCACUUCCUGGGUAGUUGUAGGAAUGUGCCUCUGCAGCAGUGGGCCUGGGACCAGGCAGUGAUGAGGGUGGCAGUGAGGCCUGCCAGAACACCCUCCGUCCAACACCGCUGAGCUCCCUCCUCCAGGCCCCUGCCUGCUUCCACCGACCCCAGUUAUAAUAGUCUCACCAGACCCUUCAAACCAACACAUCUGGGGGAGGAGGGCGAACAGUGCAUCUUGCUUUGGAAAGUUUAAGGCAAGUAA